rnacentral:rRNA from 1 species
GUGCCAGCAGCCGCGGUAAUACGUAGGGUGCGGGCGUUAAUCGGAAUUACUGGGCGUAAAGCGUGCGCAGGCGGCUUUGCAAGACAGAGGUGAAAUCCCCGGGCUCAACCUGGGAACUGCCUUUGUGACUGCAAGGCUAGAGUACGGCAGAGGGGGAUGGAAUUCCGCGUGUAGCAGUGAAAUGCGUAGAUAUGCGGAGGAACACCGAUGGCGAAGGCAAUCCCCUGGGCCUGUACUGACGCUCAUGCACGAAAGCGUGGGGAGCAAACAGGAUUAGAUA